ACAGCAGUAGCCGCGGUAACACGAAGGGGGCUAGCGUUGCUCGGAAUCACUGGGCGUAAAGGGUGCGUAGGCGGGUCUUUAAGUCAGGGGUGAAAUCCUGGAGCUCAACUCAGAACUGCCUUUGAUACUGAAGACCCUGAGUUCGGGAGAGGUGAGUGGAACUGCGAGUGUAGAGGUGAAAUUCGUAGAUAUUCGCAAGAACACCAGUGGCGAAGGCGGCUCACUGGCCCGAUACUGACGCUGAGGCACGAAAGCGUGGGGAGCAAACAGGAUUAGAUACCCGUGUAGUCCCUGUCUCUUAUACA
rnacentral:rRNA from 1 species